GUACUGGUUUCGACGGGGGCUUUGAAGCCGGAGAAGCGAGUCGUCUGUAACGCGAUAAGUACAAAAUUAAAUUAAACGCUAACGAAAAUUUAGCAGCUGCCUAAGUUGCAGCAGUCUGAACCUUAAGCACCUACACUUAAGGGGAUGGCUUCAAACCCAUGUAGGAAACGGUUUGUACAAAGCUUUGAGUACAAAUACGUAUUAUGAAGCUACCUCUUUUAUAAGAAUGUUAAUUUUCGUGUACUAGAGGGAAUCCUAAAUAAUUAACUACGCUCGUAGAAGUACGGUGAAUGGGCUUUCGGACAUGGGUUCGAUUCCCAUCUAGUCCACU
rnacentral:tmRNA from 1 species